UACAGAGGGUGCGAGCGUUGUCCGGAAUCACUGGGCGUAAAGGGCGCGUAGGUGGUGGCUUAAGCGUGCGGUGAAAGCUCGGGGCUCAACCCCGAGUCGGCCGUGCGAACUGGGCUCACUGGAGCAUAGUAGGGGCAGGUGGAAUUCCGGGUGUAGCGGUGGAAUGCGUAGAGAUCCGGAAGAACACCGGUGGCGAAGGCGGCCUGCUGGGCUAUGGCUGACACUGAGGCACGAAAGCGUGGGGAGCAAACAGG
rnacentral:rRNA from 1 species